rnacentral:rRNA from 1 species
UGCGGAGGGAUCAUUACACAACAAAAUAUGAAGGCCUGGCUUUCGCGGCCGGCUGAAGUAUUUUUUUCACCCAUGUCUUUUGCGCACUUGUUGUUUCCUGGGCGGGUUCGCCCGCCACCAGGACCAAACCAUAAACCUUUUUUUCUUAUGCAGUUUCCAUCAGCGUCAGUAAAAACAAUGUAAUUAUUACAACUUUCAACAACGGAUCUCUUGGUUCUGGCAUCGAUGAAGAACGCAGCGAAAUGCGAUACGUAGUGUGAAUUGCAGAAUUCAGUGAAUCAUCGAAUCUUUGAACGCACAUUGCGCCCUUUGGUAUUCCAAAGGGCAUGCCUGUUCGAGCGUCAUUUGUACCUUCAAGCUUUGCUUGGUGUUGGGCGUUUUUUUGUCUCCCUCUUUCUGGGAGACUCGCCUUAAAACGAUUGGCAGCCGGCCUACUGGUUUCGGAGCGCAGCACAUUUUUUGCGCUUUGUAUCAGGAGAAAAGGACGGUACUCCAUCAAGACUCUACAUUUUUCACUUUUGACCUCGGAUCAGGUAGGGAUACCCGCUGAA